UGAGUCGGCCGGGUGGCGGCGGCUCCUUAUUUUUAAGGAGUUGAGGAAAGUCCGGACUUCAUAGGGCACGGUGCCCGGCGCAAGCCGGGGCGGGCGACCGACGGAAAGUGCAACAGAAAGUAAACCACCCUGGCUCGCCAGGGAACGGGUGAAACGGUGGUGUAAAAGACCACCAGCGUCUUGGGUGACCAAGGCGGCUUGGCAAACCCCACUGGAAGCAAGGCCAAAUAGGGAGGGGCUGACGUGGCCCGCUGACCCUCCGGGUAGGCCGCAUAGUCAAAUCGUCACACAAAUACAGAAUCCGGCUUACAGGCCGACUCAAAUU
rnacentral:RNase_P_RNA from 1 species